rnacentral:rRNA from 1 species
GUAGGUGGCAAGCGUUGUCCGGAUUUACUGGGCGUAAAGGGCGCGCAGGGCGGCUCGUCAAGUCUGGGGGGUGAAAUCUCCCGGCUCAACCGGGAGAGGUCUCUGGAUACUGACGGGCUUGAGGGAAGCAGAGGAGAGCGGAAUUCCCGGUGUAGCGGUGAUAUGCGUAGAUAUCGGGAGGAACACCAGUGGCGAAGGCGGCUCUCUGGGCUUUUCCUGACGCUGAGGCGCGAAAGCGUGGGGAGCGAACCGGAUUAGAUACCCGGGUAGUCCACGCCGUAAACGUUGUGCACUAGGUGUGGGGGGUAUUGACCCCCUCCGUGCCGCAGUUAACGCGAUAAGUGCACCGCCUGGGGAGUACGGCCGCAAAGGCUAA